GGGCGGGUCCGCCGAGGUGGUGGCGUGGGGCAUCGACAAGUGGUGGCGCGCGCACUCCUCGCCGCCGGAGGUGCCCAGGUACGCCGACAAGGCGCCCAGGAGGGUCGCCGCCGCCGCCGCUAGGGUCAACCCCCGCCCCAUCCAGCAGCCGCGCUGAGCGUCCGUCUCCGCCGCCGCCCGCGUAAUCAUCCAUCCAUCCACCCAUCUUGACAAACAAGCAGAAAAAAAUUAGGGAAAAAAAGGUUUUGUUUUGUUAUUUUCGAUCUACUCCUAGCUUUUUUGCUAAUCUCGUCGCGUCGUCAUCGUCGUCAAGAUCUGGGUUUUGGUCAGG
rnacentral:misc_RNA from 1 species